ACCUAAUUGAUUGCAAUAACCAUACUGGUCGGUCUUUAUUCCAGUCUCUUCUUUAGCUUCGCGUUUAACCGACAGAUAUCGAACUUCUCAUCCAACUCUCGGCAGGAAAGCGAAUACAGCUUUUAGAGUUCGUCACAUACAGUUACUUUGAAUUACUGCUUGGUUUAAAUGUGAAAUCUGUGGAAAUGCAAAUGUUUUAUUCAAAGUCAUUUGUUCAUAGACUGUGAGAAGCACAUACAAAAUACCAUCAUCCUAUAAAAGUAUGUAGCAUAAAACAGAUUUUGAUGUACAAUAUACUGUAACUCUGGUAAGAACUCAUCGCCACUUGCAAAGUUUUCGUUCUGUUUCUCUUCUAAGUGCAUGAUUAUUCAUACACAGACUGGUUGCAGAGGCUUCUCCCUCAGGAAUGAAGCGUAUCUGCUGGCUGGAGAAGCACAAACACUGAAGACAAUGGAGCAGAAGUUCAUAUUUUCACAAGUUAAAGAUUUUUUCUUUUUUUUAGCUCAGUUUGUACACUGGUGUGGUUUUUGUGUCCUAAUCUGCUUCCGACGAGGGCAGACAAACGUUUUGCUCAACACUUUUGGCCCCGAAAGUCACGCUCACAUGCAGCAGGGGUUGCGGUCGGAUUAAGAUUUAAAACUUUUUUGAGAGAAAAUAAAAAUAUCCAGACAGAAAAAGGAUUUCUAGUGAUUUGAGCCAUAUUUGUAACACCAAUGAUGUUAUUUUCUGUAACUCCAUGAGCCAUCUGACAUGCUUAACGUAACAACUGCCUGUUUAUAUGCAAUAAUACUGUUCUAGGUGAAUGUGAUGUAAAAUAGUGGACACUUUUUUUCUUUUUUUGUCUCUUUAUGUAGAUAUGAAACAAGGUUGUGAUCAAAAUAAACGACUCUUUUAGAUUGUGACUCUUUCUCGAAUUGUGACUCUUUUGUUUGUUUGGGAAAACCACUCCACACAGCAGCAGACAAGCUUUACAGCAUUAAAAAAAUCAAAUAAUUUAUUUCUGUGUUCUUUUUCCACAUUAAAUAAAAGCUAUCGGACAUUUCCAGAUCAAAAUCAAGAGAGGGGACAGGGAGGAGGAACAGAGGGAAACAGACAUGCAGAAAAAAAAAAAAAAAAACCCUUUUGCUCUACCCUUUGCACACUUCAUGGAUGGCGAUGGAGGCAGGCGCCCCAGAAAAAGACUGCAGGAAGCCCCUGUGGUUGGUUGGUUGUGUUGUGGGGGACCACUGCUUAUAUAAAUGUUAAUUAUCUGACCGACAAAACUGGUUUCUGGAGGGGAGGGGAGGAUUUAUAAAUGUAGGUCAGGAAUAGCACAGCGGACGUUCAGGAUGAGGAAAUAAACUACUGCUUUGAACACUGAACUGGCAUGUCAAGUCAAAACUGAUUCCAAACGCAGAGAAAACUGGUAAUGCAACACCACAAGCCGUGGCUACAAACUGAUAAAAGAUGACGAAGCCCUUCAGUCUGUGAUCAUGAUCCAAACGGCUGUAAUGCCCAUAAACCUCGUGGUACUGCCAGAGUUUCACAGGAUUGAGAGAGAGAGAAAAAAAAAAAAAGAUGCUAAACAGACUCCUUCAAAACACCUCCUCUUCCUGACGGCCCGUUUGAAAGAAUACGUUCAUUUGCUACCCAUCCAGUCCUUUCGUCAGCGUGUGAAAGAAGAAAGGCCUGAACAGUGAGAGAACACAGAAAAAAAAAAAAAAAGGAGAAGCGAGCGUCCAACACAGGGACAGAAGAUUGAAUGAACCAGAAGGAGUUUGAACGGGGUGAUAACAAUAAAAAAUAAAAAAAAUAAUCUAAACAGUGUGUGAUGAGCAGCAAAAGUUCGGGGUUCUAGAUUGUUUCGCUCAUCGUUCUCACAACAACACCUCCGGAUGGGCUAAAGUAGCACAGAAAUUAAAAAUAAUCAACCCAAAGUCGCCCCCAAACCCAACACAUGAUUCACCAAAAAAAAAAAGAAAAAAAAAAGACAUGCUCUCAAUAUAUCCGAUGAAUAGAACAACACUCGUAUACAAAUCUGAAAAAUAAAAGAAAAAUAAGUAAUCUGAUCCAUUGUUCCAAACGCACACAGACACACGGACAGAACUUUGUGUGGGUGGCAACUCCGUAAACAUUUACUCUCCCUUCCAGACGUGGGGAUGUAAGAGCUCAGCUGAACUGCUGCCGGAACAAAAAAAAAAAAAAAGAAAAGAAAGAAAGGGGGAAUAAACCCAAAACGAGUUCCUGUAGUGUCAUUCAGAGGGAUUCUAACUGUUUGCUGGAGACUUUUGUUUGUUCCGUUGCCAUUGUUUGUAGCCGACUUCACACGUUUUGCAGAUGGCAGUGUCUCGCGGUGCUUCCACUUUGAAUACUGUAGACAAAAGCACACGCGUCCAAUUGCAUAUUUUCGGGGCGCUACAAGCUCGAGGUGGGCGAUCGGGUGAUUUUAUAUUAGGAAGCGUGCUAUAUGUAAGUAUUUUAUUUUUACAGCUCAGUAGCUGCUAGACUCGCCUUGUAGUCGUCUGAGGUUUCCUUUCAUGCUGUUGGUGCUCAUUCAGCCGCCUCUCCAGCGAGUCUCUCGUCUCACCAACAGACUCCAACAGUCCUCGUUCUGCUCUACACUGUGAGCUGGAGAACCACUUCGAGCGUAGCCUUGCAGGGACAGACCAACACCCACAGCGCUGUGUAGUAUGGUCUGGCUGCACCUCAUUAUUAAUCUGCUGUAGGGGCAAAAAAAACAACACUAUUAUGGUUGUAACUCUAUCAACUAAAUACAAUCGAUUGGGUGAUGUGAAGCCCAGGAUGCAGCGAUGGUGCCCCUGCAAAGUAGUGAUUGUUUUGGUGGAACCUUUGCAUGUCGAGAGCCGAAUACUGCCUUGUUGGUAGUUGAAGAGGACGAGAAAGCCGCCUAAAAGUCCACAUUCGGUGAGUCAGACUACUCCUGCCAGAACCUGCAGCAGGUGGAGAACUGGUUCACAAGCUCACUGAGGCUUUGGAGCAGAAUAAAGACACCGAAAAGUCCGUCGAUGAGGCAGCUGAGCGACAACAACAGCGACCUGUUCGGUCUACAGGUGGAGGAAACAUGAGGCGAGAUGGGGCUAGCUUGUUAGCAGCGCAGAUGCAAGUUACUACUUCUGAUUUGAACUUUUAGACUAAAAUAAGCAUAAAAACAGGACGCAGAGACGCGUGACUUGGCCCUCGAGCCUCAUUUCACUGAUUACGUAUCAGAGCAACCCUAAUCACAUGACUUCCACUAAACCUGUGAGGAGAACUGUGAUUCCGACUGUGAUCGUCACAUGAUGGUCUUCAUGUGAUCUUUUAUCCGGAUCGCCCACCCCUGCACAAAUUGCAUUUACAACCUGUGAUAAAGGCUGCUUCCUCAUUUGCUUUUAAAAAUAAAAAAAAAUAGAAGCAGAUUCAGGGUUUAUUCCCCCUUUAGCUAUCAUCCUGUUCUUCAUUCCUUCUCUACAACAUCGAGCACGAACUUACAAAAAUAAGUGUCUGCUCAUGUAACUAACGAGUCCUGCCGUCCUUAUUAGAUCAGAACAAAACGCAGCACCACAAAGGCUCUGAUUUUUCCUGCGCGAGGAAUCCGAAAGCAGAGAGAUAAAGUCCAACAGAACAGAUCCACACCACUGUCAAAACAGCACACACACACACACAUUCGUACGGACACAUACACACUGCAGCAAUUUCCAAAGAAGUGCAUCUGACCUUUGUUCAUUUUCACCGUUAAGAAAAAACACACAAAAGCAGUUGAAGCAAACUUUCUUUGCCAAUUAGUGUGUGCUGGAACAUCCGGGUGCAUCUAUGACGAGUUCCAGGAUCUCAAAAAAUGUUAGCGAGGUUGGCUGUGCAUCAAGUUAGGGCACCUGGGAAGUGCAUUGUGGACUCAGCCGCUCACGAGCAGCGUGAGGUUAUACAGGUGUAUAGUAGACAAAUCUAAAUAAACUGAAAGCAAACGAAAGAAUACAAUAUAAUCUGCUAAGAAUACUCGUCUAUUUUCCUUUUUUUUCUUUUUUAACAUAAACACACACACACAGCAAACAGGAAUCCAGCAUUCGCAACGCUUCGCCUCGACCUGGCGCCGACGUGUCGCCCGUCGGCAGGCAGAUCGCUGCAGUCGCGGCUGUUAGUGCUGACGGACCGAGUGGCACUUGCAACGAGGAGAUUCAGGAUAAUAAUGUUAAUUAGUAAACAGAGAUAUCUGACCACACCGUCAUUGGCAAGGAGUCUCUCUCUUUGAACGACACCGUUUUUCUCCUUUUUGGAAAUUUUGCAGUGGCUGGCAGUGCGUUUAGGGGAAAAAAAAAAACGAGUUCUGAUCUGCAAAAAUUAAAAAUUUAACUCCUCGACCACACCCACAUCAGGGUUCGAUUUAGUAAAAGGACACUGAAGCGGAAAAA